CCAAGCAGGAUGCUCAGAAAUGUGUCAGGGAUAGCUAGCAGGAAUAUUCCAAUCCGUACAACCCAGUGACCACCGACUGAUUACCACAGUGUUGUGCCUUCUGCCUGCCACCCCCUCCCCCCAGCAUAGCUCUCUUAGAUUAAAAUGGAGCCCGAGACCUGCCCAAGCUGCAGAAGCUCAGAGAGAUUUUCUGCCAGUCCACCUCUCCCUCAGCGGAUUUGCACCCAAUUGAACUCUGACGACGAAUUCAGCACCCAUGUUGUGUGUGUGCAGGGUCCUCUGGUUGCCAAGGACCACGUUGCUAUGGUCUCAGCAGACCGGAAGAUCCACCGCAUGGCCCUCUGGGAUAUGUAGUCCCCACGUCCAGACCCGCCGGUAGACGCGCGGCCUGCUGGGAAAUGUAGUCCCGUUGUCCACCCCUUCCACAGCUACGCGACGGUGCCUGAACUACAUAUCCCGGCGUGCAAGCACCGCCGAUGAGGGCAAGGGGUAGUCAAGAGGUGACUACAGUUGCGAUCCUCCCACGCUGACUUUGAGAGUCUUGUGGUACCCAGCAGCAAUUGCACCCUUCAAACCAGAUUCCAAGAUAAAAAUGUUUAUUCUAUAGUUAAAAACGUCAAUCACAUAUAUUUUCACAAAUAUACAGAGAUAUUUGCACAAAUUUUUUAAAAUAUGCAUUACUACGAGAAAACUGUUUAUGCCUUAAAAUAUUGAUUUUGGGUUUUAUCAAUAUUUAUCCAAUUUAUUCUCCUUCGGUUACUCAUGACAAUAUAAAUUUACAUUUAAAAAUAUAAUUGGAGUGAUUGUCACAAGGUGGAUCUCCCACAAUGUGAAAGAAAAAGAGAAAUUGCUGGAAAAGCUGAGCAGGUCUGGCAGCGACUGUGGAAAUAAAUCGGAGCAAGCGUUUUGGAUUGAGUGACCUUUCCUCAGACCCCAGGGCUUUUCCAGCAAUUUCUGAUCUUGUUCCCGAUUUACAGCAGCCACAAUUCUUUCAGUUCUCAGGGAAUGUGAGUUCCCUUGUUCGGGGCAGUUAAUCAGGGAGCCCUGGCUGACAGAUACAAGCAAAAUUGUCAGAGGUUCAGCUCACUCUUACAGCUG